rnacentral:rRNA from 1 species
GACGAACGCUGGCGGCGUGCUUAGCACAUGCAAGUCGUACGGUAAGGCCCUUUCGGGGGUACACGAGUGGCGAACGGGUGAGUAACACGUGAGUAACCUGCCCACAACUUUGGGAUAACGCUAGGAAACUGGUGCUAAUACUGGAUAUGUGCUCCUGCUGCAUGGUGGGGGUUGGAAAGCUCCGGCGGUUGUGGAUGGACUCGCGGCCUAUCAGCUUGUUGGUGGGGUAGUGGCCUACCAAGGCGGCGACGGGUAGCCGGCCUGAGAGGGUGACCGGCCACAUUGGGACUGAGAUACGGCCCAGACUCCUACGGGAGGCAGCAGUGGGGAAUAUUGCACAAUGGGCGCAAGCCUGAUGCAGCAACGCCGCGUGCGGGAUGACGGCCUUCGGGUUGUAAACCGCUUUCAGCAGGGACGAAGCUUUUUGUGACGGUACCUGCAGAAGAAGCACCGGCUAACUACGUG